ACACAUGCAAGUCGAGGGGCAGCAUCAUUAAAGCUUGCUUUGAUGGAUGGCGACCGGCGCACGGGUGAGUAACACGUAUCCAACCUGCCGACAACACUGGGAUAGCCUUUCGAAAGAAAGAUUAAUACCGGAUGGCAUAGUCUUCCCGCAUGGGAUGACUAUUAAAGAAUUUCGGUUGUCGAUGGGGAUGCGUUCCAUUAGGCAGUUGGCGGGGUAACGGCCCACCAAACCAACGAUGGAUAGGGGUUCUGAGAGGAAGGUCCCCCACAUUGGAACUGAGACACGGUCCAAACUCCUACGGGAGGCAGCAGUGAGGAAUAUUGGUCAAUGGACGAGAGUCUGAACCAGCCAAGUAGCGUGAAGGAUGACUGCCCUAUGGGUUGUAAACUUCUUUUAUACGGGAAUAAAGUGAGCCACGUGUGGCUUUUUGUAUGUACCGUAUGAAUAAGGAUCGGCUAACUCCGUGCCAGCAGCCGCGGUAAUACGGAGGAUCCGAGCGUUAUCCGGAUUUAUUGGGUUUAAAGGGAGCGUAGGCGGGUUGUUAAGUCAGUUGUGAAAGUUUGCGGCUCAACCGUAAAAUUGCAGUUGAUACUGGCGACCUUGAGUGCAGCAGAGGUAGGCGGAAUUCGUGGUGUAGCGGUGAAAUGCUUAGAUAUCACGAAGAA
rnacentral:rRNA from 1 species